AGAGAGAAAGAAAAUAAAUAUGUUUGAUAGAUGGAAGAGAACAAGGAUAUUUUUUUUAUAGAAGAGAAGAAGGAAAGAAGCAUUGAUCACCAUUGAUCAACACCCCAACCAUUUCGAGAAGACAGUUUUCUAACACAUUAAUCACACAUCAACUUUGAUUUCUAUCUAACCUCUUACAUCUCUUUAUUACCAAAAACAGAGUUAACUCUAUCUCUAACCACAACAUUACUUACCAACGUUUCAAUUCAAACCAAAAUCACAAUCAAUUCAGUUCAGACACACAAACCAAAAGCACAUGAGACACUGUUCAAUUCAAACACAAAGCACAA
rnacentral:lncRNA from 1 species